GAUGAACGCUAGCUACAGGCUUAACACAUGCAAGUCGAGGGGUAACGAGAGGAAAGCUUGCUUUCCUUGUCGACGACCGGCGCACGGGUGAGUAACGCGUAUCCAACCUGCCCCCAACUAGGGAAUAACCUUGCGAAAGUAAGACUAAUACCCUAUAAUUUCCUCAGAUGACAUCUGACGAGGAAUAAAGAUUUAUCGGUUGUGGAUGGGGAUGCGUCUGAUUAGCUUGUUGGCGGGGUAACGGCCCACCAAGGCAACGAUCAGUAGGGGUUCUGAGAGGAAGGUCCCCCACAUUGGAACUGAGACACGGUCCAAACCCCUACGGGAGGCAGCAGUGAGGAAUAUUGGUAAAUGGGCGGAAGCCUGAACCAGCCAAGUAGCGUGCAGGAUGACGGCCCUAUGGGUUGUAAACUGCUUUUAUACAGGAAUAAAGUUAGCCACGUGUGGUUAUUUGUAGGUACUGUAUGAAUAAGGACCGGCUAAUUCCGUGCCAGCCGCCGCCGUAA
rnacentral:rRNA from 1 species